CAGUAGCCGCGGUAAUACGAAGGGGGCUAGCGUUGUUCGGAUUUACUGGGCGUAAAGCGCACGUAGGCGGACUUUUAAGUCAGGGGUGAAAUCCCGGGGCUCAACCCCGGAACUGCCUUUGAUACUGGGAGUCUUGAGUUCGAGAGAGGUGAGUGGAAUUGCGAGUGUAGAGGUGAAAUUCGUAGAUAUUCGCAGGAACACCAGUGGCGAAGGCGGCUCACUGGCUCGAUACUGACGCUGAGGUGCGAAAGCGUGGGGAGCAAACAGGAUUAGAUACCCGCGUAGUCCCUGUCUCUUAUAC
rnacentral:rRNA from 1 species